rnacentral:lncRNA from 1 species
CCCUUCUCUCUAAUUCUCAAUCUCUAGAGUCAAGUUGCAAGUCCUCAAAAGGGAGGAUAUGACAGAUACAGCUAAUUGCUGUAAAGGGUCUAGAAGAGUCAAAGAAUCCAAGAGCAAGGCCUUUUUGUGCACCAGGGAAGCUUGAGGUCUAGAGAGAGGAAGAAACUCACCAAGGCCAUGCAGUAAGCAAGGACAGAGAAUGGGGAAAGCAGAGGUGUCCAGGAUCAUCUUGCAGAUUUACGUCUAGCAAAACACAUUGGAAAACUGUGUCACACGCCACAGCCCGUGCCAAGAGACCAGGCUGGGGUUCUGGAAAUACAAAUCGUAAAGAAGAGAAGUCGCAGCAUAAAACAAACCCAAACCAACAAAUGUUCUUUCUUUCACCUUAUCUUAGUUCCAGAACUCCGCAUUUAAUGAAAUAUUUCAGGAUGGAAGAGGUGAGGACAGCAAACGUCUGCCCUGCUCCCCAGACUCUCUGAGCCACACUUCAACCCAGAGCAAAUUAAAGCACAGGCUCCUUAGACAGAAGUCCUAAUGAUGAGAGCAGAGAGCAAGCUGGAGGGUUCGGGGCUGAGCCCUGGCCAACUGCAAUAAUAAAACAGUGCAUGGACGUGGAGGCUUUGGAACAAAAAUACCUUGUAGCUAUUAUUUUCCUGAGUCUCUACCCAAGCAUACACCCCCUCUCCCAUUCUUUUAAUCUGGAGCUACUGAGAAGCGG